rnacentral:RNase_P_RNA from 1 species
UGAGUUGGCCGAGGCAGUCGCUGUUUUGCAUUAGCAAGAUGGAGGAAAGUCCGGGCUCCAUAGGGUAAAGUGCCAGGUAACGCCUGGGAAGCGUGAGCUUACGGAAAGUGCCACAGAAAAUAAACCGCCCCGUGUCUUUUGUGAUGCGCGGUAAGGGUGAAAAGGUGCGGUAAGAGCGCACCGCGCAAUUGGCAACAGUUGUGGCAAGGUAAACCCCACUCGGAGCAAGACCAAAUAGGAGCUUACGUGGAUACGGUUAAACGUAUUCAUACAGUGUGACCCACACUUAGCUCGGGUAGGUUGCUUGAGGUGUCUGGUGACAGACAUCCCAGAUAAAUGACUGUCCAUGACAGAACCCGGCUUAUUGGCUAACUCAGCUU